rnacentral:pre_miRNA from 1 species
AAUGGAACUGCUGAGUUAUAUGGUAACUCCAUUUUUAAAACCUUUUUUAAAAAACAAUGAGCCAGAUUGUUUAAAAACAAUGAGCCAGAUUGUUUUCCAAAGUGACUAUAUCACUUUUCAUCUCACCAUCAGU